CUCGUAGGCGGCCAACUAAGUCGGACGUGAAAUCCCCAGGCUCAACUUGGGAACUGCGUCCGAUACUGGAUGGCUUGAAUUCGGGAGAGGGAUGCAGAAUUCCAGGUGUAGCGGUGAAAUGCGUAGAUAUCUGGAGGAAUACCGGUGGCGAAGGCGGCAUCCUGGACCGACAUUGACGCUGAUGAGCGAAAGCCAGGGGAGCAAACG
rnacentral:rRNA from 1 species